UGUGUUGAUGAAAUCUUCUGCUUCCUUAAAACAAAUAGAACAUGAAUAUAAUAGUCGUUUAAACCAAAUAGCUUUAUGCAAAUUCUUGUAUUGUAUAAAUACGUGAUUUUUAAAGUGAUCCUUACAUUCCGACUAAGUUAGAAAGGCCUGUAGUUGUGUUAAAUGGAGAAAACUCGUAUUGAGAGUGAGGAGUACUGUGUAGAGAUACAAUUGAUUGUAUGAAUCACCUUAGAUUCCAUGGAAAUGAAGUAGAAUAAUGCUAUAUCAGUAAUAGCUCAAAAAUAUGGGAUUUGGACAUAGUAUUGUACAAGUUUUCGAGACCCAGCAUAAUAUUUUUGCUAGAUAUUCAAAUAUAGUUAGUUGUUAAAGGCCAGAGCGCACCGGCUGCGUGUGCGUUACAAGUAUGUUGGAGCCGUGCACGCACAUCACGCAAGCGGUGUGCCGUCUCGCAUAAGGAUCUGUAUAUUACAAACCCGCACGUGCCAACGUCUACGCACACGCAUCUGGUGUGCACAAGCCUUUAGAGAAUUCUAUUUUUUUAUUCGAACAAAACAGACUGAAAUCAAUUAAUAGGUACUACACGUAGCACGCUGGGACUCGGAAGGCAAGUACAUUUUAGUAUUAAACUUGGUAUUUUUCUAAAUUAUAUAAUUUUGUUGUUAUUAUUAGGAUCUCAGGCCGCAAGCUUUAAUGUGAGAGAAACUAAAACCCAGUGUAUUGUGUCUGCUUUAGAGAACUAUUUAAAUGCAAUUGCCUAUUAAAAGAACUGGUUUUGUGUAUAUAAAAUAAGGCUGUAGAAUAAGAAACACUUUAUAUACUUAAUUAGAAAUCUUAUUUAUUA